UCCACACUUAUCUCAAAAGGGAUUUUGAUCAUUAUUAAAAAGGGAUCAUAUUGCGUCGUGCUCAUCCUGCACAUUUAUUAAGGUGAUUAAGAAAAAGAAAAACUUUUAUUCAACUCAAAAUGAAACUAUCUAUAUUCUUUUUCCAGAUUUUAAAAAUGAAGGACUUGUUUUCAAACACGGGCCUUUCAGCACUGCGGCAACGAAGAUUUUAAGGAUGUGGGAGUCACCAGCCAAAAAUCAAAAUUGACCAAAAAUGGCCAUUUUUGCAAAGUCAGCGUUCCGGUGUCCCUUUCGGGAACCUUCGGCUAUUUAUGACAAAACGGCCUUACCCGAUUUAUUUACGACUCUUUUCUUAUUUUUCAAAUUAAAAUUAAAAUAAAAGACCUGGUAUUGCAAUCACGGCCUUUCAACGCCUUGAGGACUAAAACUUAAGGUUGUGAGGAUUAAAAAUCAAAACAUGAUCAAAGGUGGCUAUUUAUACAAGGUUUGCUUUCGACGUCCCGUUUGGGAAUAUUCGGCUAUUUUGCCAAAACAACGUCAUCCGACUUAUUUAUGACAAAAAUUAAUAAAUUGAUAUUUUGUUGGCUAUUUUUGCAAAGGGAAUGUUGGACCCGUUGAUGGUUCCCUACGUAUCCCACACACUGGGAGAAUCAAACAUGCAUAGUUCGGGAAAAUUAACUGAACUAUUUUAAAACUGAACUCUUUUGAUUUUCAUUUUUGGCAACAAAUGACAAAGCCACUUUCAAAGUACGACUCUUUCAUUUUUAUUUUUGGCAUUUCAUAAACUAAUAAAAAACUAUUUUAAAAAACAAGAUUCCUUUUCAUUUUCAUUUUUCAUGGCAAGACAACCUAUUUUUCUUUUCUAUUUUUUGAAAACAAGACAAAAUAACGACUCUUUUUUUUUCUUUUCAAUUUCAACAAAAAAAAACAUCCUAUUUUUCCUAAACUAAAAACAAAGACUCUUUUUCUUUUUCAAUAAACAUUAAAUCAACGUAUUUUUAAAGCUAAAAAUAAAGACUCUUUUCCUUUUUCUUUUUCAAUAAAACAACUUAUUUCCUUUCUGUUGGCAAACAAACUAUUUUGAAAACCAGAAAACCUAAAAAUAAAGACUCUUUUCUUUUCAUCCUUCCCGACAAAACAAACUGUUUUUCCUUUUCUAUUUUUAAUAGCAAGACAGAAUAACGACUAUUUUUUCUAUUAUUCCUUUGAUUUUUUCGUAAAACAAUCUAAUAAAAUAUUUUUUUUAUUUUCUAAAAAUUUCAGCAGAGUAUCGACAACUUUUGGGCAUUGGUUUUUCUAAAACUAAAAAAAUUAAGUCUCUGCACUACUAUUUCUCUCUUUUUUCUCCUUUUCUCAUUUUUACAAUAUUCCUGAUAUUCAAAAAACGGUCAGCAUGUAGGCCCGGGACAAAUAAAUGCACGAAAAAUAAAUAUGAUACAUUAGGAUGGUCUUUUCAUUUCAAGUUCCUAGUCCUAGACAGACUCAACCCCUGUUUUGAGUCCCCUAAGACAAAUGCAAUGUGAUACAAAUAAGCGUUCCUACUAGGGAUCCGGCAUGAAGUCACGUUAUUAUAUGUUAAAAACCUAGGUCAGUAUUCUAGACUGUGUACCCGAGCGGACAACUGGAGUCGAGGAGGGGGCAACUUUUCGGGAACAAAAAGGCCAUCCGGCUUAGUAACUUGUCCGAGCCUCUUUCGUAUUUCAGGGCAUGACACCAUAAGAAUAGGGAGUCUCAACCAGUAAGCACAUCCCGGAGGUGAAAAGAGAAGGGCGCCAGCACAGUUUAUAUACAGUUCAGAUAAUAUUAAAGCGGUAACAUCUAGCACAUUAAGCAUGAAACAUGUAGGAAAAUCAGAUAUAGCCAAAUACAACAAUUUAUCUAAGCUCGAAUUCAAAACUCUGAACAAAAUGUUCUGGGUUCUUGCCCCAGCAAAGUUGACAUAUACUUCACACCUUCUUUUUCACCUACACCUGCAGGGGCAUAAAGGAAUUUUUCCAACUAAAGGACAAUCGGAACGAAAUUUGGUUAUUAAUUAUUCUGAGUCGCCACUUGGGAUUAAUAGUGUCCCAAGUCACUGGUUGAAUCCCAAACCGAGGAAAAAUAUGACUCUGUUAAUAGUCCGCAAAUACAAAAUUCGAGUAAGGAAUUCUGUUAACCGGGAGAAUGUGUUAGGAAUUCGCGGGUUCCGUGGUUCUAGCAUAGUCGCUCAACCGUUGUGUUUGGAUUUUAUCCGAUUUCAAAACAUGUUUUAGCGUAUGUGCCUUUUAUUCGUAAAUUGCUUUUUAUCUUUGUUUAUUUUAGAAGAAUUGCAACGUCGUGAAAACGCAUUUCGAACCACGUCGCAACAAAUGCACCAGUGGUAGUCAACAUAUUUCGACUUCGUCGAAUUUGAAAUUGGGUCACAUCAAUGCGCACCUGAGUUUAAGAAAGUAACUUAAUUAAAUCGUGCCUGAAGAUUCAAACGUAUUAUUAUUUAGAGAAGACUAUAAAAUUCACUAAACGACCCAUCCCGAAGUCUAAUAAUUAACACAACAUUUAUUUGAGGGCCCCGCAAUUUAUAUUUUAUUUGGCGAGGCUCGUCUCAUCAUUUUAUUAAAAGGCCAAUCUAAAAGUGACCAUGAUUUUCUAUUCAUUUGUCUCUAUAAAAUAAAGAAAAUCCUAACUAAUUAAUUUGUUUAAGAAAUACUAUAUUUGGGGUCUAUGAAAUUCUCAUCCUCAAUAGCUUGGGCCUGAAUACAGCCCGCAUAGAGGUAUUACCCUCCAGAUAGGACUGGCCCAGGUCCAAACGAACAGGUAACUAUAUAGGGACCGGGGACAAUCCAUUCACGUAACAGGGCCCAAAUUGCUUAUAAGACUGGCCCAACAUUAACUCAGCUAAACGCCUUCUGAAACCAACAAAAAUGUGUAACAAUAGGAAGUUAUUCAAAUUAACAUGACAUAGCCUAUUUGAACUCUAAUUUCAUGCUCCAAUUAUGCUACUUGCUGACCUUUUGUUGAAUUCUCAGUUAUUUAAAAGGUGAAAACAUAUUAGAUAAAUGAUUUUGUUAAGACACAUCAUGCUAACUUUUGAAUUAGUUUUAGCCAAUAUUACUAGAUCAGCAACAAAGUCCUACUUACUUGCAACUUGAAACCCUUAGUUAACACAAAUCAUUAAUUUCGACUGCCACUUAUUGAGGCCAACUCUGAGUUUAAAACCAAUUCAAGUUAACACUAGUAAUCACAUAACUCAUAUGCGAACUGCCACUAAUUCAACUUAACAACUCAAUAGUAACAAUAACACACAAGCUUAAGCAGUCCAAAGUUAAUACAAUUAGAUCAGUACAAUCCAAUUUCUAGGCAUCUCAUAUCAAUUGGAAAUAAUUCUAGUUAAGCUCAGACAAGUCAAACUAAACAACUAGGCAUGAUUGAAUAUAACUACAGUUUAGCUAUUAAACUGUGAAUGCAUCAGAAGAGCCUUGAUCCAAACUUCAAUUCAUUUCAUCAGCCAAGGGUGUACAAGUGUGUACCUGGAAAGGUUAAAUUCGAGAGAGAAAAGGUCAGUUGAUAAUAGCCAAGCAGUAGCAACACCAGUCAAUGCCCACAGCAAAGGAUCAACAACAACCCAGGAAAAUACAUAAAUUCAACCAGUACGACCAGAUCAAAUAAUUCAACUCACAUGACUCCAAAAUCACUUGAAAACCAAUUAAAAAGCCUCUAAACUUCUAACCACAGACAAGGAGCUGGAAAUUGUGAUCUAGUAGAUAGAAAACUUUGAAAUUACCCAAUGAAAUAGUACAAAUUUUUAAUUUUCCUUCCGAUUUCAAUUUUUUUUGAGUUUUUAUUUGUUUUUGGUUAUUGAAAUUUGAAUCUCUACUUCAGAUCUGAAAAAUUUAAAGAGGGAGUGUUUGGGUGUAG
rnacentral:lncRNA from 1 species